rnacentral:rRNA from 1 species
UACCUCAUAGUAUAGCAGUUUCGCAUGAAACCACUAUUAAAGUCACAACGGUGAAAGAUGAGCAUGCGUCCCAUUAGCUAGUUGGUAAGGUAACGGCUUACCAAGGCAACGAUGGGUAGGGGUCCUGAGAGGGAGAUCCCCCACACUGGUACUGAGACACGGACCAGACUCCUACGGGAGGCAGCAGUGAGGAAUAUUGGACAAUGGGCGCAAGCCUGAUCCAGCCAUGCCGCGUGCAGGAUGACGGUCCUAUGGAUUGUAAACUGCUUUUAUACGAGAAGAAACCCUCCGACGUGUCGGAGCUUGACGGUAUCGUAAGAAUAAGGAUCGGCUAACUCCGUGCCAGCAGCCGCGGUAAUACGGAGGAUCCAAGCGUUAUCCGGAAUCAUUGGGUUUAAAGGGUCCGUAGGCGGUCAGGUAAGUCAGUGGUGAAAGCCCAUCGCUCAACGGUGGAACGGCCAUUGAUACUGUCUGACUUGAAUUAUUAGGAAGUAACUAGAAUAUGUAGUGUAGCGGUGAAAUGCUUAGAGAUUACAUGGAAUACCAAUUGCGAAGGCAGGUUACUACUAAUGGAUUGACGCUGAUGGACG